AUAGCUCAGUUGGUAGAGCAUCAGGCUUUUCAUCUGAGGGGCAAUAGUUCAUAUCCCUAUUU
rnacentral:tRNA from 1 species